rnacentral:rRNA from 1 species
GAUGAACGCUGGCGGCGUGCCUAAUACAUGCAAGUCGAGCGAACGGACGAGAAGCUUGCUUCUCUGAUGUUAGCGGCGGACGGGUGAGUAACACGUGGAUAACCUACCUAUAAGACUGGGAUAACUUCGGGGAACCGGAGCUAAUACCGGAUAAUAUUUUGAACCGCAUGGUUCAAAAGUGAAAGACGGUCUUGCUGUCACUUAUAGAUGGAUCCGCGCUGCAUUAGCUAGUUGGUAAGGUAACGGCUUACCAAGGCAACGAUGCAUAGCCGACCUGAGAGGGUGAUCGGCCACACUGGAACUGAGACACGGUCCAGACUCCUACGGGAGGCAGCAGUAGGGAAUCUUCCGCAAUGGGCGAAAGCCUGACGGAGCAACGCCGCGUGAGUGAUGAAGGUCUUCGGAUCGUAAAACUCUGUUAUUAGGGAAGAACAUAUGUGUAAGUAACUGUGCACAUCUUGACGGUACCUAAACAGAAAGCCACGGCUAACUACGUGCCAGCAGCCGCGGUAAUACGUAGGUGGCAAGCGUUAUCCGGAAUUAUUGGGCGUAAAGCGCGCGUAGGCGGUUUUUUAAGUCUGAUGUGAAAGCCCACGGCUCAACCGUGGAGGGUCAUUGGAAACUGGAAAACUUGAGUGCAGAAGAGGAAAGUGGAAUUCCAUGUGUAGCGGUGAAAUGCGCAGAGAUAUGGAGGAACACCAGUGGCGAAGGCGACUUUCUGGUCUGUAACUGACGCUGAUGUGCGAAAGCGUGGGGAUCAAACAGGAUUAGAUACCCUGGUAGUCCACGCCGUAAACGAUGAGUGCUAAGUGUUAGGGGGUUUCCGCCCCUUAGUGCUGCAGCUAACGCAUUAAGCACUCCGCCUGGGGAGUACGACCGCAAGGUUGAAACUCAAAGGAAUUGACGGGGACCCGCACAAGCGGUGGAGCAUGUGGUUUAAUUCGAAGCAACGCGAAGAACCUUACCAAAUCUUGACAUCCUUUGACAACUCUAGAGAUAGAGCCUUCCCCUUCGGGGGACAAAGUGACAGGUGGUGCAUGGUUGUCGUCAGCUCGUGUCGUGAGAUGUUGGGUUAAGUCCCGCAACGAGCGCAACCCUUAAGCUUAGUUGCCAUCAUUAAGUUGGGCACUCUAAGUUGACUGCCGGUGACAAACCGGAGGAAGGUGGGGAUGACGUCAAAUCAUCAUGCCCCUUAUGAUUUGGGCUACACACGUGCUACAAUGGACAAUACAAAGGGCAGCGAAACCGCGAGGUCAAGCAAAUCCCAUAAAGUUGUUCUCAGUUCGGAUUGUAGUCUGCAACUCGACUACAUGAAGCUGGAAUCGCUAGUAAUCGUAGAUCAGCAUGCUACGGUGAAUACGUUCCCGGGUCU